rnacentral:rRNA from 1 species
AAAAUUAUCAGCUUGUCUGAUUUUAAUAUUUGAAGACGUGAAUAUAAAAUAAAAUUAGGUUGUAGCUCCAGCGUUAGAGAGGACAAUUAUCCAAGAGAGAUUCUCUUAAUGCGACAAUAGGGAUUCCAUAGAAAAAAUUUAAGGAUUUUUUCCAAAUAAAUAAGUAAAUAGACACCAAAUAAAAUCUUUAUAAAUUAAUAAAGAAUAACGGGGUUAUUGGGCCGAAAAUUUUGGUAUUUCUAGAUAUCCCAGAAUAGCAGAUUUUUAUAAUAAUUACGUAAAAAUGUAAUUUAAUUUAAAUAUCUUAAUAAAUACUAUGUCAAGUGGGGAGUAAGUUAGUAAGUAUGUUCAGAAGUUAAUUUUCUGAUGACUAAUACGAUGGAAACGUGCCAGUUAAAUGGCGCCGGGAA